AUGCCGGCAAGCCUGCGAUGCUGCCGCCGAGCUCCACCCGGACCAUGCCGGCCUCUCCUCCUUCUCACGCGCCCCUGCUGGUUCCUCCCCUCGCAUCCCCGAGCUCGCAGACCCCGCGCGCCCCUGCGGGCAAGUUCGCCGGAGACCCACCAGGCCGAUGCUCCCCUGCCUCGUCCUCGGCGCCUUGUUCCCGAGCUCCGAGUUUGCCUGCCUUGCCACCUCCCUCUUCACUCCCUAUUUUUCCUUCCUUACCUCACAUGUCCCUUCCCCUCCUUCUCUAACAGGAGCCCCGAUGCUGAUGCCAUGACCGCGCCGCUGCUGUCGAGAUCCCUCACCCUGGACUUAUCCAUUUUUGGCGUCCGCUCGCGCGGCCGUCAGCCGCGUCGCCGGAGGUCCUCGUCGGCUCCCCAUGCUGUUCCUGCAAGGCCUGCAACCAUUUUUGGCCUACUUUGCCUCGGCCUCGACCGAGAACGAGCAUUGCUGCUGCCUGCUCGAUUCGCACGCACGCACGGCUUCCACGUUGACCGGGUCUCUGCGCGUGGCCAGCCGGCCAUGCCAGGCCCAGCCGCUGGCUUGACACGACCCCUUUUGUUGGCCGCCAAGACCGCCUGGGGCUACCUUGUUUUGGUUCACCAGGUUCCGCAGCGAAACAUCUUCAUGGUCGACUACGUUUUGCAGUCCCGACCGGGACCAUCAAGUAUCAUGAUGUCCGUCGAUCGCCAUGUACCCCUUCGGAUACGCAAGUCCCUCGAAGGUCCACCGAUGCCUAGUACGACUACAGGACCGGAACGAAGUACCAUGAUGACCGUUGACAUGUACCACUACACCGCACCAAAACGUCAAGACCGUCACGGAUAUUGCCAAGUAUCACUUUGGUUUCGGAACGCGACGAGUACCACGACUAUCCUCGAGGACAUUGGUUCCAUCAGGUUCGACUACAACGUGUGUACAACUACCGCCGCCGUGAUUUUCGACAAGACGUCGUGUACCUCUACUUCCACUACGACUGUCGCAAGAACGGGACCGGAAAGUCCGAAGACCCCAAGUAUCACGACACCGAUGACAUGA
rnacentral:rRNA from 1 species